UACGUAGGGGGCUAGCGUUGUCCGGAAUCAUUGGGCGUAAAGAGCGUGUAGGCGGUCCGGUAAGUCCGUUGUGAAAGUCAAGGGCUCAACCCUUGAAUGCCGGCGAAUACUGUCGGGCUAGAGUCCGGAAGAGGCAAGUGGAAUUCCCGGUGUAGCGGUGAAAUGCGCAGAUAUCGGGAGGAACACCUAUGGCGAAGGCAGCUUGCUGGGACGGUACUGACGCUGAGACGCGAAAGCGUGGGGAGCAAACAGG
rnacentral:rRNA from 1 species